GCAGAUUAGCACUGUAGCAAACAUUUGUACUGUUGCUACUGUCACAUGCAGUUGCAUUCAUUGACUUGCGGGGGCUGAAGCAUUGAGCAAGAAAUUAGAACACAUUGCAAGUACAAGAGGAUAUGCGACAGGAAUUCUGGAGGUUGCACCAGUGAGACUGAAUAUGGAAACGGGCAAAUUAAAAGCCGAGCAAGCUGGGGAUUUAUAAUGCAGGCAGCAUUUCCAGGUUUCUUUUCCACUUUGCUCUCAUCCUGCUAUUGGAUUUGAGAUCAUGUCUGUUAAUAUUGUAGCCUUUGGAAAUGAAAGAGAUGGUUUUUCUGAAGACAAUCAGCAGUCAAGUCUGAUCUGGAGCUAUCUAGGAAGAAGUGCUCUCAUUUCAGAGACUGAAAGCAGUCCGUUGCUGAAUUCUGCCAAUCACAUCAGAAAUCCCGUUUUUACUGAAUAUCAAGCCUGUGUGUUUGGAAAUGUCAGAUUGGUGGUACAUGACUGUCCUCUUUGGGAUAUAUUUGACAGUGACUGGUAUACUUCUCGCAGUCUCAUUGGAGGAGCUGAUAUUAUUGUGAUUAAAUACUCUGUCAAUGACAAGACUUCAUUUCAAGAAUUAAAAGACAGUUAUGUCCCAAUGAUAAAAAAAGCAUUAAACCACUGUUCUGUUCCUGUAAUAAUUUCUGCUGUUGGUGCAAGAAAAAAUGAAGUGCCUUGUACCUGCCCACUGUGCACUUCAGACAGAAGGAGCUGUGUUACUACUUCUGAAGGAAUUCAGCUUGCUAAAGAACUAGGAGCUACAUAUCUUGAAUUGCAUACCCUUAAUGACUUCUAUAUACAAAAAUAUUUUGGAGGAGUGCUGGAAUAUUUUAUGAUCCAAAGUUUGAAUCAGAAGUCAUCUGAAAAAAUGAAGAAAAGAAAAAAGACCCAGAAGUGCCAUCGAGUUAAACCACCUCAGCUUGAACAACCAGAAAAAAUGCCGAUCUUAAGAGGUGAAGCCUCGCAUUACGACUCUGAUUUACACAGCUUGCUGUUCUGCUGCCAGUGUGUGGAUGUGAUAUUUUACUCAGAAGACUUAAAGAAAGUAGUAGAAGCUCACAAGAUCAUUUUGUGCUCUGUAAGCCAUGUCUUCAUGUUACUUUUCAAUGUGAAGAGUCCAGCUGAUAUUCAUGAUGCUGCUAUCAUACGGACUGCACAGAGUCUCUUUGCAGUGAACAAUGAGGCUGUGUUUCCAGUUCCUAGCAAGGGCUCAUCAUGCAACCCACCAGUAAGAGUCAUUGUUAAAGACUCUGUCUUCUGUUCUUGUUUGUCAGACAUUCUACACUUCAUUUAUUCAGGUGCUUUCCAGUGGGAACAGUUAGAAGAAGAUAUAAAAAAGAAGAUAAAGGAUCCUGAAAAAAUUGAACAUGUGCUUGAGAAAGUUAAAUGUAUCCUGAAAACUCCAGGAAAGCUCAACAAUUUAAAGGACUACAGAUCUCACCAGAUAAAACGAUUGUGUAAUACUUCUCUCAGGCUUUUCUUUAAUACACCUGUGCUAGCUGAUGUCAUCUUCAAAAUACAAGGUGCAACUGUACCAGCCCACAGAGCAGUUCUGAUAGCUCGCUGUGAGGUAAUGGCAGCUAUGUUUAAUGGUAACUAUCUAGAAGCAAAUAAUAUUCUGGUUCCAGUGUAUGGAGUUUCCAAAGACACUUUCCUCUCCUUUCUAGAGUAUCUCUAUACCGACUCCUGUUGUCCAGCUAGUAUUCUCCAAGCUAUGUCUCUCUUGAUUUGUGCUGAGAUGUACCAAGUAACGAGACUCCAACAUAUCUGUGAGCUUUAUAUUAUCACACAGCUUCAGAGUAUGCCUAGUAGAGAAUUGGCAUCUACAAGACUCAGUAUUGUUAGCUUGCUCAGAAAAGCUAAGUUUCACAAUUCUGAUUGCCUUUCGACUUGGCUUCUUCAUUUCAUUGCCACUAACUACCUCAUCUUCAGUCAAAAGCCUGAAUUUCAAGAUCUUUCAGGUAGUUUAUCAAUUAUUUUUUUAAAGAGAAAUGUUUUUCAGUUCUGCUUAGAUUAGAAAUGAGAUACCAAAUAAUGCUGCUUCUGCAUGAGGAAAUGAGUAAGAUUUUUUUAGGAUAUACAGUCUAAUCCAAUCCAAAAUCAUUCUGAGCCAGAUGGUCCACCAACCUACCGUGGGACUAGCAUAUGACACAUAGAAGAGUAAUAUAGCUAGCGCUGCAUCCACUUGUCUUUUGGUUCCUAUGCUGAUGAGCAGGUUCCCACCCAUUACUGAAUUGGCUAGGGCAGUUUGCUUAUCAUAUUUCAGCUCUUCCAUACCUUUAAGUAUAUAACUUUGUUUAGUUUAUACAUUUGACUCAAGAUAAUGAGCUACUUUCAGUAGCUUCUGUUUAAGAUAUUUUUUUAGGAAGAAGGUAGAUUACUUGUGGUAUUCUGCAGCAGAUCUUAUGAAAUCAAGUAGCUGACUGAUGUCCAUUCAAAUCAAUAAAUCCAAGUUGUUCUGAGGAAUUGAUGUUUAUUUUCCAAAAGAGACUGUAUUUGUUUCCUGACAUGUAAUUCUAGAAUGUUUUGCCCACUGUCUGUGGGGGAAUGUCUGUUCACCACUGAUGAGGGUGAUCUCAAUGGAUGUGUCACUUCUGCCUGGAGAUAGUAUUCAGACUAUUAGUACAGGGCCAGUAUCUUCAAAAUGGAAUUUUCUUAUCAGUGGGCUGAUUGAGUCCAAAAUACAUUAAAGGUCCUCUUUCCUCAUUUGCAAGGCUCACAUAUGCAUGGGAUGACAGAUGACUUUGCAAUUGUUUGUUGAACAAAUGUUUGAACAAAAAAAGGAGAGCUAGGUCCUCUUUGCUUUGUUUGGGACAUGGGGCAAUUCCAAUGUUAUCUGCCUUUCAGUGGUCCAUCUGCCCAGAUUCUGAAAUGCCCAUUUUAUAAAUGAGAUCUGGACUGCAAAUCUGGAUUACAAAUGAGAGAUCAGCUACUGAUGAUCAGCUAUGCUGAUGGAUCUCAGCUACAAGUGGGUUCAGUUCAUGUAGGACUUGGUUUGCUUCACUUCCUUGUUGGCUCAGGUGGCAGACUGUGUUUGAAAAUGCUCUUCGGUAACUUUCUUCCUUCAAGACUUUGGUCUCAGCCAUCCUGAGAUUCCCUCAAAGCUGAAGGAAUCAGAUCUUUCAGUCUGGUAAAGGUUCAAGUGACAGUUGUCUCUGUCUUCCAGUUGGGGGGUAUGGGACCAGAGACUCAAAGGCUUGUAGAUUCCUGCAGAUCUUGAGCUAGGCACAGCUACUUACUCAUUUUGCAGUUCCCCAGUAGGAUAUCAAUUUUGUGCUGUUUUUUUCAUGGGAUUUUCUCUCUUAAAAACUUUAAUUCUUGCCCCUGUCCUCAUCUUGUCUGGAAAGCUGGCAUCACUUCCGUCAGAACAGUAUAUGAGAUUCAGGCUUUCCUAGGUAACCUCUAAUGUAUUCUGCGUUCUUCAAGGACAGUGUGUCUCUUCAUGCUCACCUUAAAUUUGUAUCUUGGUGGUGCCAGAUCUCUGUCAGGCAGGAGAUUAAUCUUUAGGUAGUCUUCCUAAAGCCUUGUAUUUUUAGGGAUGGAACUGCUUCACAGUACCAGCUGCAGGAAGGAGCUCUUAUUUUCUUAUUGCAGUUUCAGACCUUUUGAGAGGUUUAUUUCUUAAGCUCUUUGUUCCUACUGUGAAAAGUUCUAAGAGCUCUUUUGUCUCCAUACUGCAGUUAUCCAGAUGGAUAUCAGAUUGCAUGUGAACCUGUUAUGAAACUAUGAAAGUGAUGUUUCUGACAAUGAUCAGAAUGUGUUCUAACAGAGCCCAAGUGACCUAAGGGAUGAGCUAUAUAAUAUUUCCAUAAUGAAUAUUUGCUGUGAGAUCAUCCGGAAGAUUCCUCCAGGCUUUCAAGGUUUCUGAAGCACCCAGGGCUGAUGCAGAGUGGUACUACAACUGUUGGUUGUUUGAUGAAGUUUUUCAAAUCUCUGCCAGAUGACUGUUACCAGAGUAACUGUUUGGAAUCAGCCACUGGUAGAAAGCAAGUGUAGAUUCACUCAAAGAAAAAGGGUACCUUCCCGAUAAUUGAUAUUCUUUGAGAUGUGCUAUCCACAUGCACAUUGGUCUACCCUUUGCUUUUCUCUUUUCUCUGAGUCUCUUCCAGAUGAUUCUUCACUGAGAGGUAGACAUGCUCUGCAUCAUAGACCUUGCACUGGGCAAGAUGGGGGGAAGAAAUAAAAGUUCAGGGAAAAACUUUCUCUUCUGGCUUGUCAGGAUGCAAAUAUUCUCACAGAAUUCAGAUAUAGAGUAUACUUCUCGAAGAACAGCAACUAUUGGCAGAUGACCUUGCUUUUUUCAUUGAAAAGGAUGUUUACUCUUCAUUUCUAUUAUCUUAAGUUUCGAGAAAAACAAUGAUACAUGAGUGGAUGAGCGCAAUUUUGUUGAGAUGCACAGAUGGCCCUCCGAUAUGUACCUGAAGCAGCUUGCUGAUUACAGGAAUUAUAUCCAUUCUCAGAAAUGCUAUUGCACAGUAAUGUAAAAAGACUGAACAUACUCAAAGUACAUCUCAACUGGGAAAUUUCAGAUUGAGAAUUAUCUGAAGUAUAAAAAUCAUAUCAAGAGCAAAAAUAAAUAUUAAGCACUGUAUGCUAUGCUGUAGUGCACUUACUAAUAUUCCUUGCUUUGAUAAUAAAUCACUGGUUUUUCUUAAAGGGGUGAGAAAUAUCAUGAGGAUUUAUUUCAAACAUGAGGAUUUCACACCCAUUAGGAUUAAACCUAGCAUGGGACUGUGGCAUAGCUGCCAUCUAUUUCCCCUUUCAGUUUCUUUAUUUCUUAUUUUAUUGGUCUUUAUGGUUAUUUUCAGCUGCUAAGACGUUGAAAACAGUUUUUUUUUAAAUCUUGUGUUUGGCCACAAUCGCAGUGCAAGAAAGUUGGGUAGCCGACUCAUGAGCUCUUUGAAUAUCUCAGAAUGCAGAAAUUUACAACCUUUAUUGGCUUGCAAAAUUAAGGGUCCAUUUAAUAAACAUUCAAGUAACUGUUCCUUUUCUACAUCAGGUGAAGUUUGUAGUUCUCAUUAACAGGACUUUUAUAGUCAUAUGAGCAGAUAUUCUUAAUUCCAGCAGAAUGCUUGUGUGGCACCAUCACUAUAUUGUUUAGUGUUUCCCAAUUAUCUAAAAAUGGAAAUACUUUCUCCUCCCAGUAAAUAGGAUAAGGAAGUCAGUUUUAAUAACUUGCCAAACAUCUUUGCUAGUGUGGGAAUAUUUUAUGUCCUUGUAUGUAAAAAUUCAGGAAAAAUUUAAGUCAGCUAAGAGCAUAUCUAUUCAGUAUUGGUAGAGACAGGGAGGCACAGGAAGGGGGUCCACAGUCAUUCUUAUGUUUUGUGGAAGAAGACUCCCUAGCCCUAGUGACUUUCUUCAGAAAAAGUUUGUCUCAUAAGCAGAAGUUUCCUCCAGUAGCUGAUACCGUAAAUGUUUCAAAUAGAUGUCAUGGUCAUGGACGGAGGUGACUUUUCAGAUAGAUAUGCCAGUCCUAUGAAGGACUUCCGCUAUUGUAACAUGACAUUUGGCUCGACUUUCCUUGGUGGGCAGUCAGUAUAAAAUGAAUUAUCAUAAAGCAUUCAUAAGCUACUACAUAUUAUGCAAAUCUGAUUAUAUUUUUCUGAAUGUGUGGAUUCUUUUUCCAUUAUAAGUGAUAAAUCUUGAAUAUUAUGAAUAGGAUGAUCCUUGUAGGCAGGUAUUGACAGUAUUCCUUAGGUCACAGGUCUAAAUCAUUCAUUUAACUAGCCCUUAUGUUAUAUGUAUGUAAUAAUAAUGAUGAGGACGAAAUGAACCCAACCUACACAUUAAGGUGUCUAUCUAAAGACAGAUACUUGCUGUAAUUGAAACUCUUCACUGUCAGUCUUACUAUACUUUUAUAUCAGUUCUGUUUUGUCAGCAGCCUUUAAUUUCGUUUAUGUAGUGUCUGAGCCUAGAAAGACACAAAAAUACUGAAAAAAUUACUUAGUAUUUCUCCAAGCACCACAGCAGACCAUCUCAAAAGUACCUCGAAAGUAUAGCUGUGAGGUGAAGCUGAAACUGCAAAUUGCUGGAACUGAAUCCUUUUUUGUAUAUAGAAAUUGUUUCUGUAUUUCAAUGGGAUUUCAUAGGUCAGUUGUUCUUUUCAAAUUCCUUGUUAGAAUCAUAGGGAUUUUCUUUUUUGGUUACAUUUUGCAGAAUCAAGAUGGUAUUUCCUUUCCUAUUUUGGGACCAAAAAAAAAAAAAAAAAAGAGAGAGAUCGUGACUCAACUGACUGUUGCAGGUUCAAAAUUCUAAGGUUAGUUUUAUAUCAGAAUAGUGGUGAUUGAAUUCAAUUUUUAUUUCUGACUUCUCAUCUGGAGUUCAUAAACUUCUUCAAAAUAUGAGAUACAGUUAUCUGCAUCUCACAUAUAAGGAGACUUAAAUGUAGAGCUUUAAGUUGCUUUUCAGGAUCACUAAAGAAAACUGUUGAGAAAAAAAAGUAAGUAGAAAAGUAAAAUAUACAGAACUUAAAGGUAAAAAAGUUAUUUUCUAAGGCUGUGAUAUUCAUUACAGUAGAAAUUAAAAACUUUAAACAUAAACUAACUGCAUGGAUAAGAUUAAAACUUACAGUUUUUUGAAGCAUAAGGCCAUAGACAAAAAUGAGCAUACAACUAGAAACAUAACUUGUGUGGAUACCUGAUAGCAUGCUUGGUCACUAGCUGUGCUUCUAUCAGUAGGCAGCUCAAUUAUUUAAGUUGCAGUUUAUAUGCCUCAUACUAACUUUUAGUAUAAAAGUGAUUACAAAAGUUAUAUAUGAAUAUUGGUCUGUAUUGCAUGUAGUCCUAAAUUUUUAGUAUUUUGAAACUUUACCCUAUAUGUUGUAGGUUUUUUGCUAGAAAUUAGUCUGUUGCCAAUAGUUUAGAUAUAGAUAAGAUGCCAAACAAAAUAUUAUUUUUAACUUCACCUAAAUGUUUUAUAAGCAUCUAAACAAUAGGCUUAAUGGAAAUAUCAACACUUUGUAUCCAAGCAACAGAAAUAUUUUGAUAUUAUAUAUUUUAAUUAAUUGUUAUAAGCACAGGUUUUAUACAGAGAAGGCAGGCAAUGUAAAAAUAUUUAUUAUUUAUUCACAAAUUUACUGUAACUUACUAAUCAGACCUUAAAAUAGCUUUCCAUCUUACCAGAUAUCCUCAUAGUGCCACCUGUAUCAGGUACAAACAUAGAAUAUAUGUGAUAAAUUUAUGAAAAAGUUUUCUCCAUUAUUUUGUAUGAUGUUUAUCUGUAAAAAUGUAUUUAUCUUAACAUAUUUUUAAAAUGAAUACUUUACAUAGCAUUAUACUUUAGCAUUCAAAGACAUAACUGAAAGUAGAUCAUGAUGUUUGGUUAGUUACUGUAGGUAAAUUUUGUUAACAGAAUAUCUUGUUAGCCUUUAGCAGCCUACAGAUCAUGGAUAUUCAGGAAUUAGAGCACUACUGAGUUUGGUAUUUAUGACAAAUUUUGUAUGCGUAAUACAUUAGGACCUUUGCUAGGCUAUGAAGUAAAAAUUAGGAAGCAGCUGAAAAAAUUAUUCAAACAAGUAAUUAUACUUUGAAGAAAAGUAUAAUGUGUGAAGAUGAAAACUUACAUAUUAGUUCAGGAAACUGCUAAUAACCUCUGCUCCUCUUUAAAAUAAAAUGUUAAUGUCUUGAUAAACAGUUUAAUAUAUUAUCCAGGGAUUUCGUUUUCUAGUUUCAUAACUGCCAGAAGAGCUUUUUGCUGUGCAAGAAUUAGGAUUUGCCUGACCUCAAAGUGGAAUCCAGAGGAUCAGUGACCUUCUUAACUUGAUGGGGUUCAAACCUGCAUUUCUUAUAUCCAAGUAUGGUACCCUGACUGUUAAGCGAUAAGUUAAUUGCUCUUCAACCUUUACGUUUCCAGGCGUGCCAUUUACACAAGAAAAAGCAGUGAAGGGAGCAUGAUUCUGGAACCUCUUGGGCCAAUCAGAGGGAGAUGCUUUCUUCUCAGAAAUUUAAUAUAUUCGAUUGGUUAUCUGUUGAACCUUACUAGCAGAAACAGCCCUAAGAACAAGUCAUGGAAAAAGAUUCUUUUGUUCCUGUGGAAAGGAUUCCCUCGAAUAAUGCGUGUUCUUCAGUGCUAUCUCCCUUUCUGACUCCAGGUUUCUUUCCAGGCUUUUCAACCCAGUGGCUGGGUCCAAUCUUCAAAGCACAAGACUGUAAUCACAUCAACUUUUCCUCCUUGUAAAACAUGCCUCAUUUUCAUAUUAAGGCCGUUCUCCUCUUUAUUAGGCAUGCUCAGAGGCAGCUUACCAUCUACAGCCCUGGAGCUGAUCCUGAUUUCCCAGUUCCAAGCUACUGAGGCUUGCAGUUCUAAAUAUCCCUGGAAACAGAACUCCUAGAACAUGGGGAAUUUUAAGGUCAAGGAAGACAGCAGGGGUUGAAUUGGGGUAUUAUCAGGCAGUAGCUAAGCAGCCUCUAGACAGUUUUGGAUUACAGUUUUGGGCAGACAUUUAAGUGGAAUUUAGAUUUCCAAUUCCUUUAUUAGAUCUAACUCUCAAAAUCUACUUUUAUAGGACAAUUAAUAAUUAAGAUAUUUAAUAACAGAUUGCACCAUAAAAUUUUUGCUGUAUUUGAUACAUGCUAAUGCUUGUCCCAAGCUGGCACUGAGCUUUAUAUUGAAAGGCUAACAGAAAGCUUUCUGCAUUAAUAAAGUUUUCCGCAUGAUAAUUACAGAUUCUCUGCUGUAGUCCUUUAGGUCUUGAUGUAUUUGAUAUGAAAAAAUGUUAGAAGGAAGAAACAGUUAUUUUAUUAGGUAUGUGUUGAAACUCAGCCUUUCAUAUGUUUGUCUUUUAAUAUAGCCUGACAAAAAUUUACAUGUUUUUAGAUUUGGCAGUUAACAUUUUGUUAAAAAAUAAACUCUUUUUUCUAGUCA